ACAUCUAGCAAUCAGGUUACACAAGUUUUCCGAUUUCUCAUUUCAUAUUUGAAGGAAUCAGAGAAAUAAUCGUGCAAAAAAGAAACAAGUUUAACAGCCUGUUUUAACUCUUUGGAAGAGCUAGGCAUGAGCAGAUAAUGACCGGUAAGACCUGUUCUUCGUAUUUGUGCCCACUAUCCAGUAUCCACUGCUAGUAAAAUUACCUUUGAGUAGGCGACAAUAGCGGGCACUACUAAUAAACUAAGC
rnacentral:lncRNA from 1 species